rnacentral:rRNA from 1 species
UACGUAGGGUGCAAGCGUUGUCCGGAAUUAUUGGGCGUAAAGAGCUCGUAGGCGGUUUGUCGCGUCUGCUGUGAAAACCUAAGGCUCAACCUUGGGCUUGCAGUGGGUACGGGCAGACUAGAGUGCGGUAGGGGAGAUUGGAAUUCCUGGUGUAGCGGUGGAAUGCGCAGAUAUCAGGAGGAACACCAAUGGCGAAGGCAGAUCUCUGGGCCGUAACUGACGCUGAGGAGCGAAAGCAUGGGGAGCGAACAGG